rnacentral:rRNA from 1 species
GAUGAACGCUGGCGGCGUGCUUAACACAUGCAAGUCGAACGGUGAACACGGAGCUUGCUCUGUGGGAUCAGUGGCGAACGGGUGAGUAACACGUGAGCAACCUGCCCCUGACUCUGGGAUAAGCGCUGGAAACGGCGUCUAAUACUGGAUAUGUGACGUGACCGCAUGGUCUGCGUUUGGAAAGAUUUUUCGGUUGGGGAUGGGCUCGCGGCCUAUCAGCUUGUUGGUGAGGUAAUGGCUCACCAAGGCGUCGACGGGUAGCCGGCCUGAGAGGGUGACCGGCCACACUGGGACUGAGACACGGCCCAGACUCCUACGGGAGGCAGCAGUGGGGAAUAUUGCACAAUGGGCGCAAGCCUGAUGCAGCAACGCCGCGUGAGGGAUGACGGCCUUCGGGUUGUAAACCGCUUUCGCCUGUGACGAAGCGUGAGUGACGGUAAUGGGUAAAGAAGCACCGGCUAACUACGUG